AACCGUGGUAAUUCUAGAGCUAAUACAUGCUAAAAAUCCCGACUUCGGAAGGGGUGCAUUUAUUGGAUACAGAACCAAUGCCCUUCCGGGCUCACUGGUGAAUCACAAUAACUCCGCGGAUCGCACGGCCUUGCGCCGGCGAUGGUUCAUUCAAAUUUCUGCCCUAUCAACUUUCGACGGCUGGGUCUUGGCCAGCCGUGGUGACAACGGGUAACGGAGGGUUAGGGCUUGACCCCGGAGAAGGAGCCUGAGAGACGGCUACUACAUCCAAGGAAGGCAGCAGGCGCGCAAAUUAUCCAAUCCCGAUUCGGGGAGAUAGUGACGAGAAAUACUGAUCCAGGGCUCUUUUGGGUCUUGGAAUUGGAAUGAGUACAAUUUAAAUCUCUUAACGAGGAACAAUUGGAGGGCAAGUCUGGUGCCAGCAGCCGCGGUAAUUCCAGCUCCAAUAGCGUAUAUUAAAGUUGUUGAGGUUAAAAAGCUCGUAGUUGAACCUUGGCCCUGGCUGGCCGGUCCGCCUCACCGCGAGCACUGGUCCGGCCGGGGCUUUCCCUCUGGGGAUCCUCAUGCCCUUUACUGGGUGUGCUGGGGAACCAGGACGUUUACUGUGAACAAAUCAGAUCGCUCAAAGAAGGCUCUCGCUCGAAUGCUUCAGCAUGGAAUAAUGAAAUAGGACGUGCGUUUCUAUUUUGUUGGUUUCUAGGACCGCCGUAAUGAUUAAUAGGGACAGUCGGGGGCAUCAGUAUUCAAUUGUCAGAGGUGAAAUUCUUGGAUCAAUUGAAGACUAACUACUGCGAAAGCAUUUGCCAAGGAUGUUUUCAUUAAUCAGGAACGAAAGUUAGGGGAUCGAAGACGAUC
rnacentral:rRNA from 1 species